AAUUCACUGGCAGAUUCCCAAAUCGGCCUGGGGUGCUAAAGCAUGGAGAGGAAUCUAAGUCUUCCCAUUACGAGAACAAAAUGGGGCACCUGGGUGGCUCAG